CUCGUAGGCGGCUUCGUAAGUCGGAGGUGAAAGGUCACGGCUCAACCGUGGGAACGCCUUCGAAACUACGAAGCUUGAGUCCGAGAGAGGAAAGUGGAAUUCCUGGAGUAGCGGUGAAAUGCGUAGAUAUCAGGAGGAACACCAGUGGCGAAGGCGACUUUCUGGCUCGGUACUGACGCUGAGGAGCGAAAGCCAGGGGAGCGAACA
rnacentral:rRNA from 1 species